GGAUCUGAGAAUGAAGAAUAUGAAUCAGUAGUAUUGGAAAGUACUGGAGUUACAGAUACAGAGGGUGGCUGUGCUAUAGCUGUACUCCCGACUAAUAUUG